rnacentral:rRNA from 1 species
ACGGAAGGCAGCAGUGAGGAAUAUUGGUCAAUGGGCGUAAGCCUGAACCAGCCAAGUCGCGUGCGGGAGGAAGGCCCUACGGGUCGUAAACCGCUUUUGUACGGGGAUAAAGUCACCCACGUGUGGGUGUUUGUAGGUACCGUAAGAAUAAGGAUCGGCUAACUCCGUGCCAGCAGCCGCGGUAAUACGGAGGAUCCGAGCGUUAUCCGGAUUUAUUGGGUUUAAAGGGUGCGCAGGCGGGCUGCUAAGUCAGCGGUGAAAUGUCAGGGCUCAACCUUGGAACUGCCGGAGAUACUGGCGGCCUUGAGAGUGGCGGAGGUAGACGGAAUGUGUGGUGUAGCGGUGAAAUGCAUAGAUAUAACGCAGAACACCGAUUGCGAAGGCAGGAUACCAUACCAUAACUGACGCUGAGGCACGAAAGCGUGGGGAUCGAACAGGAUUAGAUACCCUGGUA